GUGGACAGAACUUUUCCCAUUGAAGGAAGC
rnacentral:piRNA from 1 species